rnacentral:lncRNA from 10 species
AGAAGUAAAAAUACAUGUUUGAGAGCCUUAUAUUUGGGAGUUUUGUGUUGUAUUUUUUUUUUCCUUACAGUGCUAGAUUCUUUCCCUUAAUUCCACACAGAACCCAUCGCUACAAUAUGUGAGCAGAUGAAACCCUGAUUAGUCCCAGAAUGCUACGAAGGGGAAGAGGAGGACGUUUAUUAGAGUAUGCUGAGCUGCUGUGGAAUGACAGAAAAACAAAGUCUCUGCAAGAAUACAAAGAUUUACUUCUGCCAUCACCGUCAACUACGUCAGGGACCUGGAGCCCUUUGCUGGAUGCAGCUGGUCCUUCCAUGGGGCUGCUUACCUCAUGGGAUGCUCAGACAAACAUCUUCUUUUCUUUUGGGAUUCAGAUAUGAGCAAUAUUAUCUUGCAUCACAUAUGAUUACAAUAAAAAUAUACAAUGUCUUUC